rnacentral:tRNA from 1 species
ACAUUGGUGGUUCAGUGGUAGAAUUCUCGCCUUCCAUGCAGAAGACCCUGGUUCGAUUUCUGGCCAAUGUA